CCUACGGGGGGCAGCAGUGGGGAAUAUUGCACAAUGGGGGAAACCCUGAUGCAGUGACGCCGCGUGAGUGAAGAAGUAUUUCGGUACGUAAAGCUCUAUCAGCAGGGAAGAAAAUGACGGUACCUGACUAAGAAGCCCCGGCUAACUACGUGCCAGCAGCCGCGGUAAUACGUAGGGGGCAAGCGUUAUCCGGAUUUACUGGGUGUAAAGGGAGCGUAGACGGCAGCGCAAGUCUGGAGUGAAAUCCCAUGGCUUAACCAUGGAACUGCUUUGGAAACUGUGCAGCUAGAGUGCAGGAGAGGUAAGCGGAAUUCCUAGUGUAGCGGUGAAAUGCGUAGAUAUUAGGAGGAACACCAGUGGCGAAGGCGGCUUACUGGACUGUAACUGACGUUGAGGCUCGAAAGCGUGGGGAGCAAACAGGAUUAGAUACCCCUGUAGUC
rnacentral:rRNA from 1 species